AGCCAAAGAGGUGCAAGCAUACUUUUAUGAUUAAUAAAAGUUAUUAUUUUCUGAUAUGAUUCACACAGUAACUGCAUAUUCUGAAAAUCUGAAGUAUAACAAAAACAAUUAUUUCAUUACUACAAACAGAAAUAAAUAAAUGGAAAGAUGAAGCCUCAUAUAGAUGAAGUACCAUAUAGAUUGCACCAGAACAGAUCAGUAAUGAAAAUGAGUCAGACUUUGCAACAGGUGUAUCAGAAACCAAGAUUAUAGACUAAUGGCCUGAAAUGAAUUGUACUUAAUACUGUUUACUUUUUAAAAAAAUUAUUAACUCAUAAAAUAUUUUAUAGUCUUUAA